UUCACAUAUGUAGAUACCAAUUCUAUUGUAUAUGUAAGCUAUCUUCCAUUAGAAAAGCAAAUAUAUGCAUUUAUAAAUAAUUUUGUGCGUUUACCUAGCAUAUUACUUUUCAAAUCUCUGUAUAAAUGUUAACCUACCUUCUAAAAAUAUGUAAUGUGCUAAUGCACUGACAAUUGAUAUGUAUCAAACGUAGUGUCAAACUUAAAAAUGUGCACGUCGAACCCCUGUAUAUACAAUAAAAAAGUAUACAGACCUAUCGGUAUUUAUUUAUAAGAUACCAUCCUAAAUCUGUCUGUCAACGUAAAAUAUGGAAUCUGCAAAGAAACACGAAAAAUCUGUGAACUAUUUGACGACAUUGAGAAGUCCCAUGGCGGUCGUAAAAAAAAGGUCAGGGCCGUUGGAAAGAGCUCUUGAGGAAGUGAACGACGGUACAGCCGUAUCGGAAAUAUGGUCGUUGCCGUCAGAAGACCCACAUUGUCCAGAUGCCUUUAGCAUGCGUAAGCCAGUGAAUUUUGGAAGUAAGCUCUUUGAAGGAGCUCCUUCUCCAAAUAAACUGCGACGUCGCAGCACAAAAGACAAGGAAAAAAAACGCGAGCGCUGGCUUCUAACUCGAAAAACCUGGAGAUAUAUGACAGAUGCAGGCCGCAAGCUAAUUCCCGAUGGUUAUCAAACUGGGUCAUGUAAUCAUGACCUAAUUAAAGAUCAAUUUCAACGGGUGUGUUUAUCUGAACCAAGUUUUAUUUUAUGGAGUCGAAGAACAUCAUAUCCAGGAGCAUUCAGCAGUUCUAAGCGGAAAUUAAAACCAUUGUCGAGGCACGCAAGUGCCACCCGCAGAAAACAUGCAGUUGGUGCAACAAAAGAUUAUCAUAUUGCCGAUCGAGUCAUCGAAUUAUUACAGACGUAUCUUCAACUUCGUGAUGCAUACAAAACCACAACAUUACUUGGAACUAAAACGGUUCGGCCAGACCAAACAUCAUCUCCUAGUGCACAAAGGCCUAACUUUAAAAACAAGAGUGACAACCAUCAAGUAAUGUCAUCCGGCACAUCGAUUCAAAGCGAGCUUUUGUCCCAUCUUAAAUUGUUAUCUAAUAGCCCUAUAUUUGCACAUGAGGGAGUUCAGUUUAAGUUUGACAAUGCACACCUAGACAUUCUCGAAGACAAAGUUCUUUUGAAGAAAAUCUAUAGCGCACUUAAAAAACAGCAGCUUCAUCGAACGCUACAUUCCAAUGAUCCGUAUAUCGAUAAUAUUUCAACUUCAUUGUCUUGCUUAUUAAAAAAUGGAAUGCAAUUAUCUAGAGGUAUCAUUGAUAUAAACAAUAAGUUACUACAUGAAAAUUUUGUAUGUCUUAAGAAUUGUGAUACUACCCCCCUUUUAUCAAGCGCAAAAACAGAACUUUAUUUAGAUCUGAAUAAAGUCCCACAAAACGUUGAGUUUAAAAACGAAUGCCACUCGAACGGGCAGAUCGUUGAAAGAAUCCUAAAAACCUGUGGAACUCAAACGAACUUUAUUCAACUUAGCGAGCUAAAAACUUUGGCGCAGCAGUACAACCCUAUGGUAAAAAAUUGCAAUACUACUGAAGAGCCAAAUAAAAAUAACUGUUUAAAAUCUUCCAAUUUAAUAAGUAGGAAAAGUUCAAUUGACGAAGAUAUUUCUCAAUCAGUUAGCGAUACGAUUAAACGGUAUUUAAACAUGGCAAGAAAAAAAAGUAUGCAAGAUUCUGACUCAAACCGAUUUAAAUCGAUUAACUAUGACAAAAACUUGAGAAAUAUCAAAGCAAAGGGCGUAAUAAAUCCACCGGGAAUAAGUGCAGGAUUACACAAAGCUGUACAAACGUUAAAUGCUUGGCCUCUCAUAGCUUUGGAUUUUAUACGGGGAAACGAAUGUUCUUCAAAUCUUAAAAACGCUCACUUAGAAUGGUUAAGAUUAGAGGAUGAGCGAAGUCAGAUACAUUUAGAGUGGGAAAAAAAUCUAACAGAAAUAAGGAGUAAAGUGCACACAAAUCCACAAAUUGCAAGUCCGGGAAACAGCCAUACGUAUUCCAAGUGCAUUUCUGCACCUACUUCGCCGACUAGUCAUUCAAAGUUAGAAAAGGCUAUAAAGACUUCCAGCGGACUAAUAUCUUCGAGCUCUCAAUUUAUUUUAAAUAUUUUGCACGGACAUAGCAAUGCUGGACACAAUUUUAACACAUUUACAGACAAAUUCCUGGAUUCAAAUCAGGGUCAUGCAACGGCAAGUAUGCAGAAGUCAAAAUCGUUAUCUAAUGUGGGCCAAUUUGUAACAAAACGAAUGUGGCGGAGUCGAUCCAAAAGCCAAAAUAAACGGAGUGUCUCUAAGAACUCUACACCAACUCUAAAAUGGUAUCCGUCGGAGAACUAUUUAUGGAUUUCAGAGUCUGGCGAAUCUUUUCAAAUAGUGGAGACAAAUCUAACAAGGCUGUCAAAAACAGAAUCAGAUAUAGUAAGAAAUUUUGCAUUCGAAAAAAUUCAGGAACUAAAUAUUGGAGAUAUUGAAGAUUUAAAAACAUCGUUCCAAAAACGACAAGCUACUCCUAAAAAAAAAUCCUUGACUACAAGCUUUUUUGAUAAUGGAAAGAAGUAUGAUGACAAUGGUCGCACAGUAUUGUUCGGAACUUCUUUGGAAUGUUGCUUAGCAAGAGACAGACAACGCAAAGUUUAUAUAGAAGACCGAUCGAAGUAUUCACUAAUGUCAGUGUUUCGUGGAAGCGGUAGUACCCCAGGAAGUGUUUUGAAGCUUAAUGAUAAUGUCAGGUCAUGGGAAAGCUUACCAUCAAAGUCUCUUGAAUACGGAAUUACGGACCUCUCUGAAUAUUCUAGAGGCUCCUUUACAAAUAUAUUAAAGCCUUUGGCAUCGCUAUCUCAUUCUGAAAUUGAACGCAAUGAAAUGAAUUUCGUUAAGUCCUUUGAAGAGCCAUCAAAAUUAAUGGUACCAAUAUUCGUAAACACCUGUAUUGAUUACUUAGAAGAGAAAGGAUUACAACAGGUUGGGCUCUUUCGGGUGAGCACAUCCAAAAAACGAGUAAAUCAAUUGCGAAAGGAAUUCGAUAAAGAUAUUAAUUUUGGAAUUUCUGUUGACACAUGCCCACAUGAUGUAGCCACACUGCUUAAAGAAUUUCUACGUGAUCUUCCGGAACCACUACUUUGCAACACACUCUAUUUAACGUUUUUAAAAACACAACGUAUUCGGAAUCGACGCUUGCAACUAGAGGCUAUAUCACAUUUGAUAAGACUACUUCCCGAACCACACAGAGACACGUUGUACGUCUUACUAGUAUUUCUAGCUAAAGUGGCAGCACGCAGCGAUGAUAUAUGGUCUACUGAUGGAUGUUGCGUAACUCUUGGAAAUAAAAUGGAUAGCAAUAAUCUAGCCACAGUAUUUGCUCCAAAUAUUUUGCGUAGCACACUUUUGACAUUUUCAAGGGAUAAAGAGCAAGAAAAUAUGAGCGAUGCAAUUAAUGUCGUGAGAACCAUGAUAAAUCACUAUGAAGCACUUUUCAAGAUAUCAGCAGAAUUACUUAAUGCCAUUUAUACGCAUGGGCUGGAAGCUUGUCCCGAAAAGUUAUAUGAGCUAAUUUCUACGAAAGUAAAUCGAUCCGAAUGGCUGUACGCCUAGAAUCUCGUCUUUGUGGUCAAUUGAUCUCAUUGGCUGUUUUGUCGGAGGCAUGUACUCCAUGCCGUACCUUUUGAGACUUGUAUAUUGCUUCCCCUUAUUAUAACAGUCCCGGACUCUGGAAUGCUUGAACUUUUUACAGGAUUGGAGCCUUCGUGUCCUCUCUGGGUUCUCUGGACUUCUUGACUUUGAAAUGACCACUUUUCAUUUUGGACCGAAAUCCUUGGCUCUUAAGACGGUCACCUCCCGAGAAUGAAAUCUUCCGAGAAUGACACCUUCUUUGGAUGUUACCUCCCGAGAAUUAAGCACCUUAUCAGGGGGCUUAGGUCUAUUUAUACCGGCAUAGAGCUUUCUAUGGACUACUCCGGUCAUCGGUCUCAUAGGCCAAGGGUUGCCACCUAGCAGUUAAGUUCCCAUAAUUCCCCUAUUUUGGAAGUCAAUACCCGGUUGAUGAACUGUGCUCGUUACGCGAGUAGAAUUUCCAUCUAAACAAAACUGCAUUUUCUUUGUUGCUUUCUGACUGAAUCAACGAGAUAGUUGUACCCCUUUCCCUGAUUUAGAUUCUGGUUGGUUUUAUGUGACCCAACAGGAAAUAGAUGACCCUCAACCAAGCA
rnacentral:misc_RNA from 1 species